rnacentral:rRNA from 1 species
CACAUGCAAGUCGAGCGCCCCGCAAGGGGAGCGGCAGACGGGUGAGUAACGCGUGGGAAUCUACCCUUUUCUACGGAAUAACGCAGGGAAACUUGUGCUAAUACCGUAUGAGCCCUUCGGGGGAAAGAUUUAUCGGGAAAGGAUGAGCCCGCGUUGGAUUAGCUAGUUGGUGGGGUAAAGGCCUACCAAGGCGACGAUCCAUAGCUGGUCUGAGAGGAUGAUCAGCCACAUUGGGACUGAGACACGGCCCAAACUCCUACGG